UUGACGGGGCCCGCACAAGCAGCGGAGCGUGUGGUUUAAUUCGAUGAUACACGAAGAACCUUACCAGGCUUGACAUGUUGGUAUCGGGUCUAUGAAAGUGGGCCCCACCUCGGGAGGCCAUCACAGGUGCUGCAUGGCUGUCGUCAGCUCGUGUCGUGAGAUGUCCGGUUAAGUCCGGUAACGAGCGCAACCCUCGCUGUAUGUUAUACGUGUCAUACGGGACUGCCGGUAUCAAGCCGGAGGAAGGUGGGGAUGACGUCAAGUCAGCAUGGCCUUUAUGUCUGGGGCUACACACACGCUACAAUGGCCAGUACAAUAGGUUGCAAAGCCGCGAGGUGGAGCCAAUCCUAAAAGCUGGUCUCAGUUCGGAUUGCAGGCUGCAACUCGCCUGCAUGAAGUUGGAAUCGCUAGUAAUCGCGCAUCAGCACGGCGCGGUGAAUACGUUCCCGGGCCUU
rnacentral:rRNA from 1 species